AAGCAGGAUGCCAGCUCAGCUCUGCAAGGCUGACAAAACAAUAAUAUUGCCCUUACUCAAAAAUUGAGGUUGAAGAACAGCCUGCUGAAAAGGACACUGGAUGUUUAAGACAAACCACAAAGAACCAUAUGAGGAUUUGUGACAAGGGUUACACUGCUCAGUGCACUCAAAUGCAGGAAGGAUCUCUCAAGUGACCACUAUGCUGUAAUAAAGAAUACUUGGUUUCAAAUACUCAAAACUGUGUUCAAAAGAUUCUAAUCUGUGGGUUUCAGUGUGAGGGGUGUCCUUGACUCCAUUAUGCCCCUUGCACAGUUUCACAAUGGCCCCUUGGUUCCAUGAGGCCCUGCUGUAUAACAAUGGACCCUUGGUUCCUAUAGGGGGAUGGUCAGUAAUUUGUAGUCAGUUGUUUUGAUCAGUAGCAAUGUGGUCAGUUGGGUCGUCAGUGAGUGUGGCCAGUGGGGUGUGGGCGUUGGUGGCUGGGCAGUGGGAGUGGACAGUGAUGUGUGGUCAGUGGGUGUGGGCAGUAGGAUGUGAUCAGUGGUCAGUUAGGAGGUCUGUGGGGGGUGGUAAGUGGGUAUGGUAAGUUGGGUGGUCAGUGGUUGUGGUCAGUAGGGGUGGUGGUCAAUUGAUGGCGUCAUCGGGUUGUCGGUGAGUUUUGGUGUGGGCAUUAGGAUGUGAUCAGUGGUCAGUUAGGAGGUCUGUGGGGGGUGGUAAGUGGGUAUGGUAAGUUGGGUGGUCAGUGGUUGUGGUCAGUAGGGGUGGUGGUCAAUUGAUGGCAUCAUCGGGUUGUCAGUGAGUUUUGGUCAGUGGCUGUUGCGGGUGAUGGGUGGUCAUUGAGUGUGGUGAGUGGGUGUGGUCAGUUGGGUGGUCACUGGGGUAAGAACAAUAGUUUUGGUCAACGGGGGUGUGGUCAGUUGGGUGGUCAUUGGGUGUGGCCACUGGGUGAGGUCAGUGGGGGGGUCAGUGGAGCGGCCAGUUUGUCUGGUUACUGGGGGUGGCCAGUAGAGUGUGGUCAGUGUGGUCAGUGGGUGCAAUCAGUGCAUGUGGUCAUUGGGUGUGGUCAGUUGGGGUAUGGGCAGUUGGGUGGUCAGUCAGUUUGCUCUGCUGAGUGUCCCAUGAGGAUGGGUGCUAUAAAAGAGUGGGAUAACUGGUGCAGAGUUAGUUUGAGUUAGAAUCUGCUGGCUGUGCUGUGAGGAGGGAAGGGACAUGCAGUUGCGCAAGGGACACACAAGGUAAGAUGCUCUGUGAGGGUCAGACACGGUCAGGCGGCCAGGAAGGGGAUGGGUUGGGGUUAGCCAGUCAUGGAGAAGGAAGAAGGAAAUUUCAGAGAGAAGGAGGGAAGGAGUCAGUGCUGUGUUGAGCAGCCUGUAAGGAAAGGAGUCAGUAAUGUGUGGAGUUGCCUGAGAGAAGCCCACUGAGAAAAGGAACAAAAAGUUUUUAAUAAGAGACUGGUGACAGUGCCAGUCGUGUCCGUCUCAACAUAUUGGCAACAUCUAAG
rnacentral:lncRNA from 12 species